ACACCCUCAAGCUAUGCUUGGUGUUGGGCGUCUGUCCCGCUCUUCGCAGCGCGGACUCGCCUCAAAGUCAUUGGCGGCGGUCGUGCCGGCUCCUCGCGCAGCACAUUUGCGCUUCUCGGAGGCCCGGCGGAUCAGCGUCCAGCAAGCUACCUUUUAUG
rnacentral:misc_RNA from 2 species